UGGGGAAUUUUGGACAAUGGGCGAAAGCCUGAUCCAGCAAUGCCGCGUGUGUGAAGAAGGCCUUCGGGUUGUAAAGCACUUUUGUCCGGAAAGAAAUCCUUGGCUCUAAUACAGUCGGGGGAUGACGGUACCGGAAGAAUAAGCACCGGCUAACUACGUGCCAGCAGCCGCGGUAAUACGUAGGGUGCAAGCGUUAAUCGGAAUUACUGGGCGUAAAGCGUGCGCAGGCGGUUUGCUAAGACCGAUGUGAAAUCCCCGGGCUCAACCUGGGAACUGCAUUGGUGACUGGCAGGCUAGAGUAUGGCAGAGGGGGGUAGAAUUCCACGUGUAGCAGUGAAAUGCGUAGAGAUGUGGAGGAAUACCGAUGGCGAAGGCAGCCCCCUGGGCCAAUACUGACGCUCAUGCACGAAAAGCGUGGGGGAGCAAAACAGGAUUAGAUACCCUGGUAGUCCACGCCCUAAACGAUGUCAACUAGUUGUUGGGGGAUUCAUUUCCUUAGUAACGUAGCUAACGCGUGAAGUUGACCGCCU
rnacentral:rRNA from 1 species